rnacentral:rRNA from 1 species
UACGUAGGUGGCAAGCGUUGUCCGGAUUUACUGGGCGUAAAGAGCGCGCAGGCGGUCGGAUUAGUCGGGUGUGAAAGCCCCCGGCUCAACUGGGGAGGGUCACGCGAUACUGUUCGACUCGAAGGCAGGAGAGGGAAGUGGAAUUCCCGGUGUAGUGGUGAAAUGCGUAGAUAUCGGGAGGAACACCAGUGGCGAAGGCGACUUCCUGGCCUGUUCUUGACGCUGAGGCGCGAAAGCUAGGGUAGCAAACGGG